rnacentral:lncRNA from 1 species
CAGACCAAAUUCUUCAUUAACAAUGGGUGAAUACUUUCUUCUGAUUGAACAUGAUUGAUACUAAUCAAAAAGCAUUAUUACCCAAAUCAGAUCAACCAUUGGGGUUAAUAAGCUGCUAUGAACUGGGAACCUAAAACAGAGAACAUAAAAAAAUACUACAAAAUUUUUUAGAAUAGUGUCCAGGCGGAAUUUGAUUCAAAAUGCAGAGUCUCCAAGGGCUUCCAUGUCAUCAAGCAUUGCAGCUGAUGCUUUUCAAGAGAGUGCAAGCUCAAAAGCUUAUAGGUCUGAACAGAUUCAGGUAAAUGAAUAACUAUAUAGUAUAUUUUUUUGCAUUGAUAAGAAUAUGAUAAUGUGUUUCACAUCAUGUAAAUGCCUUCUAUUCUUACUGAAACUAUUGUUUAGUGUUGUAGCUUACAUAUACAUGGAAGAGGGGUUGUCAGACCAAAUUCUUCAUUAACAAUGGGUGAAUACUUUCUUCUGAUUGAACAUGAUUGAUACUAAUCAAAAAGCAUUAUUACCCAAAUCAGAUCAACCAUUGGGGUUAAUAAGCUGCUAUGAACUGGGAACCUAAAACAGAGAACAUAAAAAAAUACUACAAAAUUUUUGAGAAUAGUGUCCAGCCGGAAUUUGAUUCAAAAUGCAGAG